GUUUCUAUUGAGGUGUUGCGUGUAACGAUCGGUGCUAUAGCGGUCCUAUAUAGGUGCCUUGUGAAUCGGAAACAAGAAUCAAGAGUUGUAUUUUUAAGUUUUGUAAUCAAUUUUCGAUACGUUUUUAUAAAUCAUGCACUAAAAGUGUUUUUCUAAAGCAUAUACUUAUUCCAAAACAAAACACAAUAGAUAUAAAGUAAAUAGACAACACAAGUGCUAAUUGAAGUAGGUAGAACAAAUUACAUACCAUCAGGUUGAUUUAUCAUUAUCAGGUUUCUUAGUAUUUAGUAUAUUCAGUUUUUGACACAAAUAUACAGGGUGCCCAGUAAGUAGUGGAUAACCUCCUAGCCACCGACAGCACCGUAGGCUGGUCCAGAAAAUGCACUUAUAGGUCUAGGAAAAGUUUCGUGGUUUUCGAGAUAAUCGCACUUUUCUGUCUUUUUUACAAGGAACCAAAAUUAGAGAAGUGCGAUUAAAAAAUAAUGGUGACUCAUUAUGUUAAUAAUAAAUGAUACAGUUAAACAAGCAUAGUGAUUAGUUAUAUUACCGCAAUAAACAUUUAGAGUAGAAUAAUAUAUUGUUUAAUAUCCAAAUAAAAUAAUAAAAUUUCAGAAAUCACACAAUUACAAUAAAAAACUAAAAACGAAUACUAAAAUAUUUCAGACUUCUUGCGUUGCGUUGUCUAUUUAUUAUACCUAGAGGUUGUGCAUUAUUUAUUCUACAGUCAAGUGGCAGGUCAUUUUGUAUGGGCCAAUGUUUAUUUUACUGUCGGUUUUUCGACUCGUUAGAUUUGAAUAAAAUUGGGCUGGUUUGAAGUCCUCCUCAUUCUGUGCGGGAUAAAUACGUACCUAAUCACAGUGCGCCCCGAAAACACGUAUGUAAUACCGGUUCGUAGCUCUGGGGAAGAUGUUUAGGGCAUACGGUGACAUUGCGCUAUAUGUAGGUAUAUUGUACAAAAUUUAAUCGAAAACCAACGGGAAAAAAUCGGGCAUAAAGUCAAUGUGGCUAAUUCCGUCAUAGGGGCUAUUCCGUCCACGAGCAUAUAUUUAGUUCGCCCUUGUACCUACUACAUGUAUGCUCUAUCUGAUGUAGGUACCUUUAUUCCUCUAUUUCGUACAGUCACGUGUAAAAAUAUGGGUGCACACAUAAUACUCAAAAAUAUGUCCUAUAGGUCCUAUGUGAGCGAAUUAAGAACCAUGGGACAUAUUUUUGAGUAAGUUUUAUGCACCCAUAUUUUUACACUUGACUGUACAAUAAAGUGUUUACUUAAUUAUAUUUUUUUGAUUUUCAAUCGUAGGAAAGAAACCCAUUUGCUUUUGGUUGGUGAAACUAAAAGCAAUCGCAACUUUGUCGAUGAAAUUAUCAAUUUUGUUCGUUGUUCGAGAGAAACGCUAGUGGACGGAAUAGCCCCUUUGACGGAACUAGCCACAUUGACCUACAUAAAAAAAUGGCAUCAGUAGGAAAAAUCUGCUCUUGACUGUGCAAGUAGGUACAACUAAACACAUCUUACUAAUAUUUAUUAUUAAGAAUAAAUGUUUGUAAAACAUAAUAUUCCUUGUUAAAAUAUUCGCAAAUGUCACAUUUUAGAAUUAGUAAACAAAUGUAUGACACGUUUAGGUUUGCAUUUUAUAUGAUUUAGGCUGAAUUGCUUUUUAUAAGCGUGAAAGUGUUUCCCUAUUAAAUAAUAAAUUCGUAUUUACGUUAGGAAUGUAAAUAAAAUCGCAUUUUUCGUCAUUAUUGCUUUUAAGAAUAUGUAAUUCCUGUUUGUAGUUGUAUUAUGAUGGUUAAUAAAAAAUAAAGUUUU